CCUACGGGAGGCAGCAGUGGGGAAUAAUGGACAAUGGGGGCAACCCUGAUCCAGCCAUGCCGCGUGUGUGAAGAAGGCCCUCGGGUUGUAAAGCACUUUCAGUGAGGAAGAACGCCUGGUGGUUAAUACCCAUCAGGAAAGACAUCACUCACAGAAGAAGCACCGGCUAACUCCGUGCCAGCAGCCGCGGUAAUACGGAGGGUGCGAGCGUUAAUCGGAAUUACUGGGCGUAAAGCGCGCGUAGGUGGCUUGAUAAGCCGGUUGUGAAAGCCCCGGGCUCAACCUGGGAACGGCAUCCGGAACUGUCAAGCUAGAGUGCAGGAGAGGAAGGUAGAAUUCCCGGUGUAGCGGUGAAAUGCGUAGAGAUCGGGAGGAAUACCAGUGGCGAAGGCGGCCUUCUGGACUGACACUGACACUGAGGUGCGAAAGCGUGGGUAGCAAACAGGAUUAGAUACCCUUGUAGUC
rnacentral:rRNA from 1 species